rnacentral:rRNA from 1 species
UACGGGGGGGCAAGCGUUGUUCGGAAUUACUGGGCGUAAAGGGCUCGUAGGCGGCCAACUCAGUCGGACGUGAAAUCCCUCGGCUUAACCGGGGAAUGGCGUCCGAUACUGGAUGGCUUGAGUUUGGGAGAGGGAUGCGGAAUUCCAGGUGUAGCGGUGAAAUGCGUAGAUAUCUGGAGGAACACCGGUGGCGAAGGCGGCAUCCUGGACCAACACUGACGCUGAGGAGCGAAAGCCAGGGGAGCAAAGCGGG